AGCUACAAACUCAGGGCUUCUUAGUUCUGCUCAAGUUUGAUAAUUCACUAACACAACUCAUAAAACUCAGCAAAACAGCGUACUUAGGUUACCAUUUUACUAGAAAAUAUACAAAUGAAUAGUCAGAUAAAGAGACAUAUAACAUGCAAGGUCUUGGGGCGGGGGGGUCCUGAGCACAGCAUUUCUAUCCCUGUGGAGUCAGGGUCCACCACUCUACCAGUACAUCAUGUUCACCAGCCACAAACCUCUGUGAGCCUCACCGUUGAGUUUUUCUUUCUCUCUCUCUCUCUCUCUCUCUCUCUUUUUUUUUGUCUUUUGUCUGUUUAGGACUGCACCCAUGGCAUAUGGAGGUUCCCAGGAUAGGGGUCUUAUCAGAGCUGUAGCUGCUGGCCUACACCACAGCCACACCAAUUCCAGACCCAAGCCAUGUCUGCCGGAUCCUUAACCCACAGAGCAAGACCAGGGAUGGAACCCGCAUCCUCGUGGAUACUAGUCUGGUUCAUUAACCACUGAGCCACAACAGGAACUCCAAUUGUUGAGUUUUCCAAUUGAGGUUUUGUUUUACAGUCAUGCUUGAUUAAAUCACUAGCCACAGGAUUGAAGUCGAUCUUUAGCCCCUCUUCCCUCCUCGGUGGUUGGGAGAUGGGGCUGAAAGUCUCAAACUUCAAAUCAGGUAGUUGGUUUUUCUAGUCACAAGCUGCCAUCCUGAAGCUAUACAAGGACUCCAUCUUAAGUCAUCUCAUUGGCAUAAACUCAGGUAUGGUGGAAAAUGGCUCACUAUGAAUAGCAAAAGUUAUUCUUAUCACUGAGAAAAUUCAAAGGGCUUUUGAAGCUCUGUGCCAGGAACUAGGGACAAAGAUCAAAUGUACUUUUUUUUGGGGGGGGGUCAUUUUAGGGCCCCACCAGGGCAUGUAGAGGUUCCCAGGCUAGGUUGAAUUGGAGCUGUAGCCACUGGCCUACACCACAGCCACAGCAGCGCAGGAUCCAAGCUGCAUCUGCAACCCAUACCACAGCUCACCAGACCUUUAACCCACUGAGCAAGGCCAGGGAUUAAAAAAAAAAAAUGUAUUGUACAGAUAAUAAAUGCCAGUGUCCAUUUACACCAAUUAAGGACUCCAGGUUAAGAAAGUCUUUACAGGUAGUCUUCAUUACCAAGAUUUGUAGAAUGUCAGCCUUUUGGAGGAAGAGGAGGGAACCUUGAAGGAGGUAGAAGAUGCAGGAGCAAAAACCUAUAGACAAGACAGACAAAACUUAGUCCCAGCUAUUGUAUGGAUAAGGAGUUCAUCCUUGUUAAUAUUUUAGGUUUUAAAUGAGCAACACAAAUCUAACAAUAGCAGCAUCAGGUUUAUAAAGGGUCUCAUGUUUCUUCAUGGCCUGUGAGGAUUAGUUGGAGAGUUUAUUCUAUCAAAGGAGGAAAAGGCAUUGAGGUCAGUAGUCAAAAUGGAAUGUAUAAAACCAACGCAUUCAGGGAAGUGUAUUUAGGUGAAGAAAUGAACAGCACAUGGAGGAGAAAGAUGCAAAUAAUUUACAUUUUUGAAAUCAUGUAAGUGGUUUAAGCCAAAAACACAGGUGGAAUGUGACCCAGUGGGGCAGGAGGUCCCACAGAGCCUGAAUACAUGCCCAUUUGGGGUUGCCUUGAUGAAGACGUGCCUUCUUCCAUCUACUAAUGAGAGAAAACCUAUCCAAAUGAAGUAAAUAGUAAUUAGAGGUGGAGCUAAUAGUGGCCUCCAGGUCUACCUUGAGAUUUAGGUUGCAAAGGAUGAAGUCAAGAUGAAAACACUCAGGUUACUUAUAAAAGGGCUAAAUUGAACCUAUUUGUUUGCAAGCUACUGGGCCCAAGUAAUAUUUCAUUUCCUGGCCUUGGUCUAUGUUUGCUGUAAUAAAUCAAGUGAUGACAUACCUGCUUGACCUUGCCGCUUUUCCCAUUGACAUUACUACGUGGAAGGAAACUUAAGCUGAAAAAUGACAGGUUUAUUCCUCUCUCCUGAGAGGGCUAGCUUAGGAUCUGUAAUAUUGUGAUUUAUAAUAAAAAAUAUACAUUUGGUUUCUUUUCCCUUUCCUGGCCUUGAUCUCCUAAAUCUUCUGGAAUUUCUUAAGUAUGGAGAGCCAUGGUAGUGUCUUUUGUUUUGCUAAUGAGGUAACUUUUGGAAAGUCCUUAGAUCACCCAAGAAUGGGGGCUCCUUGCUUAUUAGAGGGUCCUAACUUUCAGUCUCCCACACACUCUAUGCACCACUCCUGACCUCGGAGGAAAAAGAUGGAAAUUGAGUUUAAUCACCAAUGGCUCAUGAUUUAAUCAACUAUACUAUGUAACAAUGCCUUCACUUAAAAAAAAAAAAAAAA
rnacentral:lncRNA from 1 species